rnacentral:rRNA from 1 species
UACGUAGGGUGCAAGCGUUGUCCGGAAUUAUUGGGCGUAAAGAGCUCGUAGGCGGUUUGUUGCGUCGGCUGUGAAAUCCCGAGGCUCAACCUCGGGUCUGCAGUCGAUACGAGCAAACUAGAGUGUUGCAGGGGAGACUGGAAUUCCUGGUGUAGCGGUGAAAUGCGCAGAUAUCAGGAGGAACACCGAUGGCGAAGGCAGGUCUCUGGGCCACUACUGACGCUGAGAAGCGAAAAGCAUGGGGGAGCGAACAGG